AUGAGCGGGCGCCAGCUCCACGUGGGGCCUGGCCCGUGCGGGCGCUCGCCGAGGCGGCCGGCCAAUGGGAGCGCGGCGGGAGCGGCCCGCCCCACGUGGGGCCCGCCGAGCCGCCUUCCUAUUGGGCGGCCGGGCCCGGCCGCCAGGAGCUGUGUCAGUCUGCGGGGGGCGGGCGGGGGAGCGGCGCUUAACCCCUGCGGUGCCGGGCGGGCCGCGGCGGGAGCGGGCGCCGGGGGGCACCGGGGGGCACCGGGGCGGGCCCGGGGCCCCGGCGUCCGCGCCCGGGGGUGGUGGCGGCCCCCAGGCCGCCCCCCGCAGGCCUGGCCCGGCUGCCCGGCCGUGGGACACCCCCCCCGGCCCGCGGAGGGCACGGCCCCGGGCCGGGCCGCAGGGGGUGCCCGGGGACCGGCCCCGGCGUUCCGCCGCCGCAGCCGGGCCGGGCCGGGCCGGGCCGCGCUCCCCGGGCUUCCGCCGCAGGCUCUGUCCCGGCCUCCGCCCGACGCGGCGGGCUGGCGUUCGGGGCUUUCUUCUGCUACGCGCUCAGCCGACCCGAGCGGCCCCCCCGCGCCGCCGACACCUUUCUGGAUCCCGAGCAGGAAAACCCCAAAUCCUGCCCUGCGGCACCGGCACGGGCCUGGGCGGGGCCCCCCGAGCCUCCCCCCGGCCCCCCCAGCCCCCCCGCAGCCCCCGGCUUUCCCUCGGGGUCUCUCCGGCGGUUUUCUCCUUUCGGGGAGAUCGGCGGCACUCGGACAUUUCCCGCAGUCGAUCCGGGGUUACGGCGCAGGAAAUCAAACGUCUGAGCAGCGGCGAGGGCUCAGCCUCUGCUCCUGCUUAACCUCGAGGCGAGAGCGGGCCCGGCCUCCCCCCCGCCGCAGCUCCGUCCCCUCGGUCCCGCUGCCACCGGUCAGGGGACAGCCCUGGCCUCGCAGGCCAUGGGUUUUCCUGGGCCAUCAAAGCGACUCUUCGGAGCAGGAAGCAAAGCAAAGCAAGCCGCUGCGUAGCCCCUUUUCCUUUGCUCAGAUGACAUUUAUCCAGGGAGACGUAGGCACUGGCCAUGCAGAGGGGAAGCUCCGUCCUGCAACGUUAAAAUUUGCUGUUAAAUGCACCUCUGGCAUCAGCAGCUCGUCCGUCCUGUGCCCAGGGGUGGCCACGUGCAAGCAAUGGUAUCUGCAGCUCGCCUGCUGCGGGGCCAGCAGCAGGCUUUGCGCCUACAACAGGAGGGAAAGCCACUUGACAGAAAGCAAAUCAUCCCUAUGGGGCCGUGCAGACACCCCUCCGCACACACAGACAGGCACACACCAGUCAGGAAACAAACGUGGUGAUGGAGAAGAAAAGCAACAGCCGAAAUGUCAAGAUUUGAUCUGA
rnacentral:lncRNA from 1 species